UACGGGAGGCAGCAGGGGGAAUAUUGCACAAUGGGCGCAAGCCUGAUGCAGCCAUGCCGCGUGUAUGAAGAAGGCCUUCGGGUUGUAAAGUACUUUCAGUCGUGAGGAAGGUGUUAAGGUUAAUAACCUUAGCAAUUGACGUUAGCGACAGAAGAAGCACCGGCUAACUCCGUGCCAGCAGCCGCGGUAAUACGGAGGGUGCGAGCGUUAAUCGGAAUUACUGGGCGUAAAGGGCACGCAGGCGGUUAAUUAAGUUGGAUGUGAAAUCCCCGGGCUUAACCUGGGAAUGGCAUUCAAGACUGGUUAGCUAGAGUCUUGUAGAGGGGGUAGAAUUCCGAUGUGUAGCGGUGAAAUGCGUAGAGAUGUGGAGGAAUACCGGUGGCGAAGGCGGCCCCUGGACAAAGGACUGACGCUCAUGUGCGAAAGCGUGGGGAGCGAAACAGGGAUUAGAUACC
rnacentral:rRNA from 1 species